rnacentral:rRNA from 1 species
UGGGGAAUAUUGCACAAUGGAGGGAACUCUGAUGCAGCGACGCCGCGUGAGUGAUGAAGGAAUUCGUUUCGUAAAACUCUGUUCUAUGGGAAGAAAAGGACUGUACCAUAGGAGAAAGCUCCGGCUAAAUACGUGCCAGCAGCCGCGGUAAUACGUAUGGAGCUAGCGUUGUCCGGAAUUAUUGGGCGUAAAGGGUGCGCAGGCGGCUUUACAAGUUGGAUGUGAAAUAUUGUGGCUCAACCACAAAAGUGCAUCCAAAACUGCAAAGCUUGAGUUAAGGAGAGGUAAGUGGAAUUCCUGGUGUAGCGGUGGAAUGCGUAGAUAUCAGGAGGAAUACCGGUGGCGAAGGCGACUUACUGGACUUAAACUGACGCUCAGGCACGAAAGCGUGGGGAGCAAACAGG